rnacentral:rRNA from 1 species
GCGUUUUAAGCAUGCAAGUCAAGGGAUAUCAUGAGGUUUACUUUGUGAUAGACCGGCGAAUGGGUGAGUAAUACGUGAGAAUCUACCUAUAGGCGGGGGAUAGCAUAAGGAAACUUAUGGUAAUACCGCGUAUGUCGAUGAAAUGUCUAAUUAUUAUUAUUGAUGAUUAGAUAUUAUUUGAUGAAAGCUUCUUUUGAAGCGCCUGUAGAUGAGCUCGCGCUCCAUUAGCUAGUUGGUGGGGUAAGAGCCUACCAAGGCAACGAUGGAUAGCCGGCCUGAGAGGGUGAUCGGCCACAUUGGGACUGAGAUACGGCCCAGACUCCUACGGGAGGCAGCAGCUAAGAAUCUUCCGCAAUGGGAGCAAUCCUGACGGAGCGACGCCGCGUGAACGAAGAAGGCGGAAACGUUGUAAAGUUCUUUUAUACGGGAAGAAUAAGGAUACUGAGAGAAACUUUAUUCGAUGACGGUACCGUAUGAAUAAGCCUCGGCUAACUACGUGCCAGCAGCCGCGGUAAUACGUAGGAGGCAAGCGUUGUUCGGAAUUAUUGGGCGUAAAGGGCGUGCAGGCGGUUAGAUAAGUGUGGAUUGAAAGACCGGAGCUUAACUCCGUGUUUGGUCUGCAAACUGUAUAACUAGAGUAUAGACGGGGAGACUGGAAUUCCGCGUGUAGGGGUGAAAUCUGUAGAUAUGCGGAAGAAUACCUGUGGCGAAGGCGAGUCUCUAGUUUAUUACUGACGCUGAGGCGCGAAAGUGUGGGGAGCGAACAGGAUUAGAUACCCUGGUAGUCCACACCGUAAACAUUGUACACUAGGUGUUAGAAGUAUCGACCCUUCUAGUGCCGUAGCUAACGCGUUAAGUGUACCGCCUGGGGAGUAUGCUCGCAAGAGUGAAACUCAAAGGAAUUGACGGGGGCCCGCACAAGCGGUGGAGCAUGUGGUUCAAUUCGAUGAUACGCGAAAAACCUUACCAGGGCUUGACAUUUUUUUGACCGGUAUAGAGAUAUACUUUUGCUUUUUAGCACAAAAAGACAGGUGCUGCAUGGCUGUCGUCAGCUCGUGUUGUGAGAUGUUGGGUUAAGACCCGCAACGAGCGCAACCCCUACUGUUAGUUACCAUCAGGUUAAGCUGGGGACUCUAACGGAACUGCCGGUGACAAACCGGAGGAAGGUGGGGAUGACGUCAAGUCCUCAUGGCCCUUAUGUCCUGGGCUACACACGUGCUACAAUGGACUGUACAAAGGGUAGCGAGAUUGUAAAAUUUAGCCAAUCCCAAAAAGCAGUCCUCAGUUCAGAUUGGAGUCUGCAACUCGACUCCAUGAAGUUGGAAUCGCUAGUAAUCGCAGAUCAGCAUGCUGCGGUGAAUACGUUCCCGGGCCUUGUACACACCGCCCGUCGCACCACCCGAGUCGAGGACACCCGAAGUUAUUACCCUAACCGUAAAAAGAGGGGGGUACCGAAGGUGUGUUUGGUAAGGGGGGUGAAGUCGUAACAGGGUA